UUGGUUUCAGGACCCCCAUAAAUAUCAAAAUCUAUGGAUCCUCAAGUCCCUUAUAUAAAAUGAUGUGGUAUUUGCAUAUAACCUAUGCACAUCCUCUUGUAUACUUUAAAUCAUCUCUAGAUUACUUAUAUUACCUAAUGCAAAUGCUAUAUAAAUAGCUGUUAU